rnacentral:rRNA from 1 species
GACAGAGGGUGCAAACGUUGUUCGGAAUUACUGGACGUAAAGCGCGUGUAGGCGGCCAUCUAAGUCGGGCGUGAAAUCCCACGGCUCAACCGUGGAAGUGCACUCGAAACUGGAUGGCUAGAGUCCUGGAGAGGAAGGUGGAAUGCUUGGUGUAGAGGUGAAAUUCGUAGAUAUCAAGCGGAACACCGGUGGCGAAGGCGGCCUUCUGGACAGUGACUGACGCUGAGACGCGAAAGCGUGGGGAGCAAACAGG